UGUGGACGGCGAGGCGCUCUGCAGAUCGCCGCCCGGCAAUUUGGGUGACCCCGAGCUGAAGCAGGCUCUGCUGGCAGAUGCCUCUGCCGUGGACAUGGACCGCUACGAUGCCCAGACGUUGGCGCAGGCCCUGACGUGGUACCUCCAGGAGCUCCCAUCUCCCGUCAUCCACCCGGCCGUCUACACCGACCUGCUCUAUCUGGCCCAAGAGACGCCGGGCCUGGAGGAGUGCGGCCAGCGCGCGGGAGCCGUGCUGGCGGGGCCGGGCCUGCCKCAGCCCCAGGGGCUGCUGCUGCGGGAGCUGGCGCGCCUCCUCGGC
rnacentral:lncRNA from 1 species